CGGGUGAUUAAGCGAGUUCUGGAGCAUUGGGGCUUGGUUGUAGUGCAGAGUCAACGCUUUUUUUAUAGUGCAGAGGUUGAGGUUGGUAUCGAGAGGGGAGAGGGGGUCGGCGGUGUCUUGAGGAGGGACAAGGGUAGCGGCGGCGGGCGGCGAAGAGGAGAGGAGACGAUGGGGUCCGCGCUCCUUGGUUGGAGGGCUUCGUUGGCCUCACCGUUUCGCCGCCUCCUUACCUCUCUACCGCAGACGCUACCGCCCCUUUUUCUACCCCGCCCGCAGGAUGUAGGCCUAGUUCGUGCUCCUCCUCGCCGUGCUCCGCAGGACCUUCCUCGGGCUCCCGACCCAGAAGAGGCGGUGGUGCGCGUGGCUACAGCGGCGCACGGAACCGCUCGAGGCGCUGGUCUAGGAGCGACCAACGCGGAGGAAGGGCUGGAGCGGCGUGUCGUGAGGCCGACGAGGAGGCGGGCGGCGCCGCCGCUGGAUCACACAUACCAUCUUGGUUAGCUAAACGUCUUCUAUCGUACUUGGCCUUCCCAUUAGCCACGGCGGUGGCCUUCCGAGCCGUCACGAUUAGUGGCCUUGAUGUGAUGGCCGUCACGGUAGGUUUAGGAGCCUCUGCGAGUUCGAUGUCCUUAAACCUGGCAGGACGUUCUUCUUAGUCAACUCUUCUAACCUGAUACGAUGAAGAGAUUCCGACUCAUAUGUGAGAAACAACAAUUAACAUCACUAUCAAUGAUAAUAACUUAACGAUUCCACUGUUUGACUGUCAAUAACGAACUACUCGAAUGAGAACAAGUAGUGUAACGUAGGGAGAAUGUGCCCUUAGUAGUUUACAAGUGUGUAUACAUACAGGAAAUCAACAGUAAACGAGAAAAAAUAAAAAAGAAGGGAAAAAACACACCUAUUAGGUUAAAGAAUACAACAGUUACCUAGAAUUUGUAGAAGUGAAGACUAAAGAUAAAGUUUGUCUGUCACGUCGAAACUGCCGGAGAAUAAAGUACGGCUGUUCACAUAAAACAAGGUAAUCUUUAUAUAUUGAUAUAAAAUAAGGACUCUCUCGUUAGAAUAUGCCCUUAUAUCACAACAUAAAACACGUGGGAGUAAACCGUUCUCAAGUCCAAUGAUAAACAGAGACACACUUUCAAGAGUGUAAUCAAGUACGUCUUAUACAGAUAUAAAAAUGGUUCCCCAAGGUUACUAAGCUCCUGACGUAUACACGUCUAGAUCUUUGAGAAAGAAGGGUUCUACCCGUUACACGUCUAGAUCUUUACCAUACAGGGGAUACGCACAUACUGACAACCACCUCUACAAGUAUGAAAUCCUAGAAACCAAGGACUCAAUCACUCCACGUACGAGAGCUGGGACUGUAGAUGAAUGAGAUAACAGUAGAUAUCAGACAUAACACGAGACGCGAAUUACACGUAACCCACGUAUCGUCUUGUACUUAAAGUCUACGGGAAUAAACAAACUACUUUACGGAGGAACUAGACGUACGGUCCAUAAUAUCGUAUGACAUAUACCGAAGAUUCGAGAAACUUUCAAAUCCUGUGUUAUCCUUCAGUAUAAUGUCGCCAAAGGCUAAUUAUUGUUUCGACUUUCGUGUUAGAGAUAAAAAGCUCCUGUCGUUUUAACAAAAGAUCUUGACUAUCAAAGAAGCCAUAAAAAAACAAACGAAAGACAAUGAAAUAUUGACUUAUACUUAUACGUCAAUCGAAUAAAAAGAAAAUACACUAUACACUCAUUUAUCGUCAAUCGACGUACCCAAUGACACCAAAGUUCGAGUUGAAAACACAAUAGAUCGACGUCACGAUCCUGACCAACAAAGGGUUUCUCUACUAUACUGGUACUCAAAUACCGCAAAAACUCGAACUACAGAAGACAUAUUCUCUUUACUUCAGAAGCCGUACAUGUGACACAUUUGUUAGUAACCUUUCCGCUCUCCUUCUAUUCUCCUCGUAUAUCUUCAAACACUAAACAUAUCCUCCGGAACAACCAUACUAAAUAAAAGGACUACCAUAUAAGUAGAGUAAUCCUUCCGGAACAACACACCGAAACCAGAAGGAUUUAAAAAGACACUAAAAAAGAAAAGAAAAAUCCAAACACUUUGUUACUGAUAGGAUCGUGUUCUAGAUUAGUACCUUUAAAGGAAUAACAUGUCAAAAGGUAAAACUUUAUCAUCUGGAAAGAGGUAACAACUCUACAACUAUCCUGUUCAAAAGUAACGAAUAGAAUGGUCCUGAUUCUAAUCGGACCUCUUUCACACCGAACGUACGGUACAGUAUGUGUUUAAUAAUUUAAAAGCAAGAAGUAAAAAAACAAGUACUUACAACGUGAGGACCUCCACUCUGAGCCUUACCCACUAUUACCAGGACCGAUGGCCUCUUGAGAAGUUCGAGCACCACGCACGACAUUGAGGGUGACACCGCGACAUCAGCUCGGGUAGUUAAGUUUAAGACUUCUAUUGUACAUCGGACUUAGGUUCUCCCUUGUUUAGGUCAACAAGGUUCUGCGCAAGAAAAAACAUAUAGAACAACUGUCAAACGUAGAGACGGUACAAGUGAACCUGUUACGUAUAUACAUAAUGUUCAGGAAGGUUCAAGUAUCUUAUUUAAUC
rnacentral:rRNA from 1 species